CGCACAGCGAGGAGCACAGCGCGGGUGGUCUCAACUAGCGUGCUCGGCUUCAUAAGCCGAAUUAUUUAAUAAUUAACCCCUGUAUGUGCCAACAUCACGUUUAUAAGUGCAUACUAGUGUUACUUAAAGAACAUGAGUAGCCAGCACGGUAACGUAAAGAGGACCCGUCCCCAGAAACAUCAAAAUUCGACAGCAUUCAAGAACACGCUCCAUGACAAGAGCUUGCAAACGAAGAAAAUGAUCAGCCUCAAGAUCACCAACGUCUGUGUGAGGUGUAAAGAGAAGAUAGAAUGGAAGAUAAAAUACAAGAAAUACAAGCCCCUCACGGUGCCUCGCAAAUGCGUAAAAUGCGAGGGAAAAACGGUGAAGUCGGCUUACCACAUCAUAUGCGACGACUGCUCGAUCAGUCGAAAAGUCUGUGCAAAGUGUGGAACUUCGGAGAACUUGGUACAGGACUCCGAGGAAACUGAAAAGCUAGAAGAAACUGAGAAGUUAGGGGAAACUGAUAAGUUGGAAGAAACCGACAGUGAUUGAGCAUUGGUGGCUAUUGACUUCCGGCGCUGCUUGCUGUUCAGGGCAGUCUACUCAACUAUAAACACAUGAGGUGGAGCGGCGGACAUAGUAGUCUGUCAUGAAGGAGCCCAAAGAAGCCCACCACGAGGAGAAGCCUGAGCUCUACAUCCGAUUCGUCGUCUUCUAACCAGGGUGACACCAUCGCCGUCGAAACCCUCUCGGCAGGUACAGCGAUAGGACCCGUCCAGGUUGGUGCAGUCUGCAAACUCGUGGCAGUCGUUGCUCCCGUUUGUGCAUUCAUCG
rnacentral:misc_RNA from 1 species